CACAACAACACGCUAACCUAGACCGCACAAAGGGUGUUGGUCGAUUAAGACAGCAGGACGGUGGUCAUGGAAGUCGAAAUCCGCUAAGGAGUGUGUAACAACUCACUUGCAGAAUCAACUAGCCCCAAAACUAGAUGGCGCUAAAGCGCGCG
rnacentral:ncRNA from 1 species